rnacentral:tRNA from 1 species
GAUUAGCUCAGUUGGUUAGAGCAUCUGCCUUACAAGCAGAGGGUCGGGAGUUCGAGUCUCUCAUCGC